UACGUAGGGUGCAAGCGUUGUCCGGAAUUAUUGGGCGUAAAGAGCUCGUAGGCGGUCUGUCGCGUCGGCUGUGAAAACCCGGAGCUCAACUUCGGGCCUGCAGUCGAUACGGGCAAACUGGAGUGUUGCAGGGGAGACUGGAAUUCCUGGUGUAGCGGCGAAAUGCGCAGAUAAUCAGGAGGAACACCGGUGGCGAAGGCGGGUCUCUGGGCAACAACUGACGCUGAGGAGCGAAAGCGUGGGGAGCGAACAGG
rnacentral:rRNA from 1 species